rnacentral:rRNA from 1 species
GACGAACGCUGGCGGCGUGCUUAACACAUGCAAGUCGAACGGUAAGGCCCUUCGGGGUACACGAGUGGCGAACGGGUGAGUAACACGUGGGUGAUCUGCCCUGCACUUCGGGAUAAGCCUGGGAAACUGGGUCUAAUACCGGAUAGGACCACUGCCUGCAUGGGUGGUGGUGGAAAGCUUUUGCGGUGUGGGAUGGGCCCGCGGCCUAUCAGCUUGUUGGUGGGGUGAUGGCCUGCCAAGGCGACGACGGGUAGCCGGCCUGAGAGGGUGACCGGCCACACUGGGACUGAGAUACGGCCCAGACUCCUACGGGAGGCAGCAGUGGGGAAUAUUGCACAAUGGGCGCAAGCCUGAUGCAGCGACGCCGCGUGAGGGAUGACGGCCAUCGGGUUGUAAACCUCUUUCAGCACCGACGAAGCGCAAGUGACGGUAGGUGCAGAAGAAGGACCGGCCAACUACGUGCCAGCAGCCGCAGUAA